rfam:Myotis lucifugus cont2.39825, whole genome shotgun sequence.
GGCGGUUCUUGGGUGAUGCAUCCCUGAAUUGGGCUCCCUCCUCUUUGGUUCCCUAGUGUGUCACCCGAGAACCACC